GAGGGCGAAGCGUCAUUACGCAGCAGGUGUUUCUCUUUAUGCGUAACACUUUGUGCGAGAAAAACAAACAAACAAAACGAUAUGUCAUAUCCAGGCGCAUGCCAUUUUUGCUGGAUAGGCUACGUGGGCAGGCGCACAUUACCGGGGAGAAAGAUGUUCACCGAUAAUUUCGCUAAUUACCUUAUAUACGCUAAUUAUCGCUUCUAGUGUUACCUUUUUGGGGCACGUGUAAUGUUCGAAAUCGAAGCCGACGGGCAGUGAAGUCAUGUCUGCUUCAGCGAAAAAUCCGAACACUAGCUCCACUUUCGACACACGCUACCUGCUAGACGAAAUAUAUUGGCGUUCCAGCUAACAGUUUUGCAAAAGCACGCCUCUAGCAGUUCGGGACGAGUUUUAUGCGGAACGCCGAGGCAUUCUUCGGGAACUUAGUAACAGAAACGUUACUCAUUUUAGCUAAUAAGCGAUAUUAUCGCUGAAAUUUUUUCUUGGUGCCAAUGUACACUUACACUGACACGUAUGCUAUUUUCAAAAACGGCGGAAGGGUAGGCAUGAGAACUGCUUUCUUUCUUUUUUUUUUUUUUCAAGUGCUCCGUACAAAAAAGAAACACCAAGCCUAUAUAUGCAGGGAUUCAGAGUCUAGUACAGAGCUACUUAGCGAUAUCGCUGUAAGCAAGCAGAGUAACCUACCAACGCCAACUCUGGGUUCAAAACGUUGCGGAUAGCAGAGAUUUAUACGUAGGAGGGCCAGAGACAUUCGCCUGAACAAGGUACGCUCUAUAGCCUGCUACCGUAGAGAAAGACGUUCAACAAAAGCGGACACUCGGCGAGAACUAGCGAUAGCAAAUACGUCACGCUAGUAUUCGUGGUAGCCGUUAGCCGACGUCAGGAUAAAGAAGAACGUGAAAUAACAAACCACAUUUCAAUUUACUUUUUCUUUCUCGCUAAAUUAAAAAAAAAAAAAACAAGUUUUGCCUGCAAUGAACCUAUACUAUGCGACUUGUUUUUCUCGGGUUAACUAGCGAUAAGCGAAAGGCGCGCCAGACCAACACCACCUAGAUAGCACAAGGCCUGUUUACUCCGAUCCAUGACGUCACGCUACCUGGCCUGAAAUUUCCAUUGACAAAGGCUGGCGUGAUAAAAGCGGUGACGUCAAAAUCACUGUUGCCUACUCGGGAGAAUCCCCAUUAGAUUCUAUGGCAGUCGGGCCAGGCAACAGGACGUCAUGGAUCGGAGUGAAAUGGCCCUGCGCUAUCUAGGUGGUGUUGGCCAGACACGCCACCGAAGCGAGCGAGGCCGGAUGCGCACGUGAGCGUCUGUGUCUGUCGCACCCGUCUGUCUGCCUUUUUCUUUUUUUUUUUUAAUGUAGGUCUGGUUUUCUGGGCUCUCGCCGUUUACACGGCACAACUGUGAAACUGGACUACGGCAAGCUGAUACCAUCCGGUGGAUCCAACUUCGUACGGGAACUACUGCUGCUUACCUGGUACCACAACAUUGGACGAACCCACCGAAAGCCCGGAACGAGCAUUUAUAUAGAGCAACAUAAAUAUUUCCCCAUUUCGCAA